rnacentral:rRNA from 1 species
UGGGGAAUCUUAGACAAUGGGGGAAACCCUGAUCUAGCCAUGCCGCGUGAGUGACGAAGGCCUUAGGGUCGUAAAGCUCUUUCGCCAGGGAUGAUAAUGACAGUACCUGGUAAAGAAACCCCGGCUAACUCCGUGCCAGCAGCCGCGGUAAUACGGAGGGGGUUAGCGUUGUUCGGAAUUACUGGGCGUAAAGGGCAUGCAGGCGGCUUGCCAAGUCCGAUGUGAAAGCUCCCGGCUUAACUGGGAGAGGUCGUUGGAUACUGGUUGGCUUGAGGCAGUGAGAGGGAUACAGAAUUCCUGGUGUAGUGGUGGAAUGCGUAGAUAUCAGGAGGAAUACCAGUGGCGAAAGCGGUAUCCUGGCACUGUACUGACGCUCAUGUGCGAAAGCGUGGGGAGCGAACGGGAUUAGAUACCCGCGUAGUCC